UACAACCUGCCCUUCAGAGGGGGACAACAGUUGGAAACGACUGCUAAUACCGCAUACGAUCUAACCUCGGCAUCGAGGAUAGAUGAAAGGUGGCCUCUAUUUAUAAGCUAUCACUGAAGGAGGGGAGUUGCGUCUGAUUAGCUAGUUGGAGGGGUAACGGCCCACCAAGGCGACGAUCGGUAGCCGGACUGAGAGGUUGAACGGCCACAUUGGGACUGAGACACGGCCCAG
rnacentral:rRNA from 1 species